rnacentral:rRNA from 1 species
AUUUAAGUGGAAAGUUAAAGUCGUANCCAGGNUUCCGUAGGGUGAACCUGCGUAGGAUCAAUA